ACCACGGAUUCGUAAACAGUUGCAAAUGUACUUCUAUUUACUCAUAUUUAAGGAUUAAAAAACUUAAUUUCCACAAAAGUCUAAAGUGCUGUUCCAAAAAGAUUGUGAAAGCAAAGAAAUUAAUGUUCUUCCACGAGGCUAGAAAGUGUAAGACUUUGCAAACUAAAUGCAACUAAGACAAAAGAACAGAACCAAUCACGAAUUACUGUUUCGGGAAAGAAACCUACACUUGACUGUAGGAAAUGCGGGAAAUCUUGGGCCAGUCGAGAAGUUGCUUCUUUUAAUUUAGAACACAACAGUAAAAUUUGGACUGGCUUCCCUACUGUCGAUAGAUACUUCAGGUUCCCACAACGGUAAGUAGAUAGAUCGUCGACACAUGAAAGGUUCCGUCAUCACUCUGGUAAGACCCUUCUGAGUGCCAUUGUUGAUAGUAUUAGUAAUGAUCCAAGUAUUGCAACAACAAUAUUCUUCUUGAGCUUGCUUGAAUCUGAUUUAAAAAUAACUUAUCAGCAGAUAGAAAAUAUAAAUUCUGAAGGACGCAAUGCCAUUCGCUUUCGUUAAAGGAAAUGCUAACCUAUUGGGCACUCUCCAUGAACAAACUUGCACAGAGCAGUAGGACAAGGAAACCAGUUGAGAUCUUCAUCUCUCUGUCUCAUUGCAGCCUAUGAACUACCAGGUAUUUAAAACGCGUGACAAUGUCCCGACCAAAAAAACAGAAAAACGUAUGAGUGUGGAUUUGUAACCUCAUGCUGCACAAUGAUCCUUAUUACAUGGGGAUGCUUAGUGUACGUCAAUCAAUGGAUAAUGCAAUGUUUUUUUCUUUUUUUUGGAAACGUGGAUAAUGCAAUGUUCAUACUAGAGCAAUUUGGUCAAGCCAACGUAUUUUCUAGUCAAAGCAUUUCAAACAAUGUUCCUGUUAGGGUUAUGUGCUGUGAUACAACUCGAAGUAUUGGUCAAAAGUGAUUAAGUUGAGGACAAUAUAGAUACAUACUAGUAUGUAGCCUACACUGAUUCACUGCACAACAGAUCCCACACCCAGUUUUAGCCCACCAAGUUUUGAACAUGGGAUGAAUGAGAGUUUGUAGCUACCUAGCAUGGUGCAGUCAUGGAACCUGCAUUUGUGGAAUCUGAACAUCUGGAAAUCACUCUAGGUGUACUAUGGUAUGAUGAAAUCGUACAAAACCCAUGCUGCAGUCAUGGAACCUCCAUUUCCAAACGUUGUGUUAGUUGACACGACACAGCAAAAAACCCAUGCUGCAGACCAAAAAAAAAGUAAUCAUUAACCACUAACUGUUCUUACAUUUGUAUUCAUAACAUGAUAAAAAAUCUAAUAGAACAAGGAAAUUUGAACAUACUCUAGAUCAAGAUAACCCGCUGUGCCCAUGACUGAUGUCACCACACGAGUCCCAUUAUCACUGGAAAAAACCAUGGACAUACUGAAAUCUGCUAUUUUCGCGUCCAAGUUUUCAUUGCGCUGGGAUUGCCUCCUCUCUUAAUGCAAUUCUCUUACUGGAUUCCCUUCUUAAAUAGGCUGAAAUACAAAUCCAUUUCAUCAUUGAUUAACGUAUUUUACAUAACUUGACGUGCUUUUAUUCGAGGAUGAAAGAUGGAAGAAAGAAGUUACAUAUUAACUAAACAGAUUACCUUCCAUAAAAUUGGUCUAAUAAAACUGUGUUAGUUUGGUGAUCAGAUUACCCUGUACAAAAGUGUAUCUGCACCAUAACAAUCAAAUGGACCUAAGACAAGAGAACAGAACAUAUCGUUAAUGACUGUUUCGGGAAAGAAACCUACACUUGACUGUCGGAAAUGUGAGAAAGGUUGCAUUUUCUUUAAAUUUAGAACGCCACAGAAAAAAUUGCACCGGCUUCCCCACUGCUGUAGAUGCUUCAGAUUCCCACUGCUGUGAAAAGAUAGAUCGUCCGCACACGAAAGGUUCCGUCAUCACUCUGG
rnacentral:lncRNA from 1 species